UCGACACAUUUCACAGCCAACUUCAAACUCCAUUGAUCUUUAGAGCGGACAGAACGAUACAACAAAAGUCAAGAUGCAAGCACCUAUAUCAAACGUCGUCGUGAACUUCAAAGGCGGCAAUUAUACCGCCCAGGGAAGUCAGGCUGUCAAGGAUGCAUGGAAAGAUAUUGCUGAUAAUAACAAUAUACCAACAGGCAGUUUCCAUGCAAACCAUGCUCAUAUCCUUAAGUUGAAGUAUGCUAACGGACAUUGGGCGGUAGAAACAGUAGAAAAGGGAUCCGCUAUAUAAUGGAGACAGUCAGGACAUGAAGUCGAACAACGGAACUCGAAUUUGUACCCAAUUAACAAAAGAAGAUCUUCACAUGUAAUCACUUAUGAAUUAAUAAAUAUCAUCUUUCAAUAAACA